rnacentral:rRNA from 1 species
GACGAACCGUGCGAACGUUGUUCGGAAUCACUGGGCUUAAAGGGCGCGUAGGCGGGUAGCCAAGUCGGGGGUGAAAUCCUGGAGCUCAACUCCAGAACUGCCUUCGAUACUGGCGAUCUUGAGUCCGGAAGAGGUGAGUGGAACUCCUAGUGUAGAGGUGGAAUUCGUAGAUAUUAGGAAGAACACCAGUGGCGAAGGCGGCUCACUGGUCCGGUACUGACGCUGAGGUGCGAAAGCGUGGGGAGCAAACAGG